rnacentral:rRNA from 1 species
AACGAACGCUGGCGGCAUGCCUAACACAUGCAAGUCGAACGAGACCUUCGGGUCUGGUGGCGCACGGGUGCGUAACGCGUGGGAACCUGCCCUUAGGUUCGGAAUAACUCCCCGGAAGGGGUGCUAAUACCGGGUAAUGUCUUCGGACCAAAGAUUUAUCGCCUUUGGAUGGGCCAGCGUUGGAUUAGCUAGUUGGUAGGGUAAAAGCCUACCAAGGCGACGAUCCAUAGCUGGUCUGAGAGGAUGAUCAGCCACACUGGGACUGAGACACGGCCCAGACUCCUACGGGAGGCAGCAGUGGGGAAUAUUGGACAAUGGGCGAAAGCCUGAUCCAGCAAUGCCGCGUGAGUGAUGAAGGCCUUAGGGUUGUAAAGCUCUUUUACCCGGGAUGAUAAUGACAGUACCGGGAGAAUAAGCUCCGGCUAACUCCGUG